rnacentral:misc_RNA from 1 species
AAGAAAGUACUCAUCGAGUUCUUUGAUGAUUUCCACCAAGUCUUUGCCUUUAGUAGAGACCACCACCGCAAGUUCACUUGUUGAGGUGGUUUCUUUAGAAAACUGGCUCACCGCCGACGGUGGAGCCGCCACGCUCGCCGCUCCUACCGUGGUGGUGACGGCAGCCUCCGAUGUUAUCGUUGUCUCGUCCCAUUCCUCCUCCGUGACUGACCUCGAAGAUG